rfam:Triticum aestivum genome assembly, contig: Triticum_aestivum_CS42_TGACv1_scaffold_501225_6BL
GUGAUACUCCCGCCGUUUCGAAUUACUUGCCUUGGAUUUAUCUAGAUACGGAUGUAUCUAGCACUAAAAUGAGUCUAGAUACAUCCGUAUCUAGAUAAAUCUAAGACAAGUAAUUCGGAACGGAGGGAGUACAUG